rnacentral:rRNA from 1 species
AUAAUGGGUCAGCGACUUAUAUUCUGUAGCAAGGUUAACCGAAUAGGGGAGCCGAAGGGAAACCGAGUCUUAACUGGGCGUUAAGUUGCAGGGUAUAGACCCGAAACCCGGUGAUCUAGCCAUGGGCAGGUUGAAGGUUGGGUAACACUAACUGGAGGACCGAACCGACUAAUGUUGAAAAAUUAGCGGAUGACUUGUGGCUGGGGGUGAAAGGCCAAUCAAACCGGGAGAUAGCUGGUUCUCCCCGAAAGCUAUUUAGGUAGCGCCUCGUGAAUUCAUCUCCGGGGGUAGAGCACUGUUUCGGCAAGGGGGUCAUCCCGACUUACCAACCCGAUGCAAACUGCGAAUACCGGAGAAUGUUAUCACGGGAGACACACGGCGGGUGCUAACGUCCGUCGUGAAGAGGGAAACAACCCAGACCGCCAGCUAAGGUCCCAAAGUCAUGGUUAAGUGGGAAACGAUGUGGGAAGGCCCAGACAGCCAGGAUGUUGGCUUAGAAGCAGCCAUCAUUUAAAGAAAGCGUAAUAGCUCACUGGUCGAGUCGGCCUGCGCGGAAGAUGUAACGGGGCUAAACCAUGCACCGAAGCUGCGGCAGCGACGCUGAUGCGUUGUUGGGUAGGGGAGCGUUCUGUAAGCCUGCGAAGGUGUGCUGUGAGGCAUGCUGGAGGUAUCAGAAGUGCGAAUGCUGACAUAAGUAACGAUAAAGCGGGUGAAAAGCCCGCUCGCCGGAAGACCAAGGGUUCCUGUCCAACGUUAAUCGGGGCAGGGUGAGUCGACCCCUAAGGCGAGGCCGAAAGGCGUAGUCGAUGGGAAACAGGUUAAUAUUCCUGUACUUGGUGUUACUGCGAAGGGGGGACGGAGAAGGCUAUGUUGGCCGGGCGACGGUUGUCCCGGUUUAAGCGUGUAGGCUGGUUUUCCAGGCAAAUCCGGAAAAUCAAGGCUGAGGCGUGAUGACGAGGCACUACGGUGCUGAAGCAACAAAUGCCCUGCUUCCAGGAAAAGCCUCUAAGCAUCAGGUAACAUCAAAUCGUACCCCAAACCGACACAGGUGGUCAGGUAGAGAAUACCAAGGCGCUUGAGAGAACUCGGGUGAAGGAACUAGGCAAAAUGGUGCCGUAACUUCGGGAGAAGGCACGCUGAUAUGUAGGUGAAGUCCCUCGCGGAUGGAGCUGAAAUCAGUCGAAGAUACCAGCUGGCUGCAACUGUUUAUUAAAAACACAGCACUGUGCAAACACGAAAGUGGACGUAUACGGUGUGACGCCUGCCCGGUGCCGGAAGGUUAAUUGAUGGGGUUAGCGCAAGCGAAGCUCUUGAUCGAAGCCCCGGUAAACGGCGGCCGUAACUAUAACGGUCCUAAGGUAGCGAAAUUCCUUGUCGGGUAAGUUCCGACCUGCACGAAUGGCGUAAUGAUGGCCAGGCUGUCUCCACCCGAGACUCAGUGAAAUUGAACUCGCUGUGAAGAUGCAGUGUACCCGCGGCAAGACGGAAAGACCCCGUGAACCUUUACUAUAGCUUGACACUGAACAUUGAGCCUUGAUGUGUAGGAUAGGUGGGAGGCUUUGAAGUGUGGACGCCAGUCUGCAUGGAGCCGACCUUGAAAUACCACCCUUUAAUGUUUGAUGUUCUAACGUUGACCCGUAAUCCGGGUUGCGGACAGUGUCUGGUGGGUAGUUUGACUGGGGCGGUCUCCUCCUAAAGAGUAACGGAGGAGCACGAAGGUUGGCUAAUCCUGGUCGGACAUCAGGAGGUUAGUGCAAUGGCAUAAGCCAGCUUGACUGCGAGCGUGACGGCGCGAGCAGGUGCGAAAGCAGGUCAUAGUGAUCCGGUGGUUCUGAAUGGAAGGGCCAUCGCUCAACGGAUAAAAGGUACUCCGGGGAUAACAGGCUGAUACCGCCCAAGAGUUCAUAUCGACGGCGGUGUUUGGCACCUCGAUGUCGGCUCAUCACAUCCUGGGGCUGAAGUAGGUCCCAAGGGUAUGGCUGUUCGCCAUUUAAAGUGGUACGCGAGCUGGGUUUAGAACGUCGUGAGACAGUUCGGUCCCUAUCUGCCGUGGGCGCUGGAGAACUGAGGGGGGCUGCUCCUAGUACGAGAGGACCGGAGUGGACGCAUCACUGGUGUUCGGGUUGUCAUGCCAAUGGCACUGCCCGGUAGCUAAAUGCGGAAGAGAUAAGUGCUGAAAGCAUCUAAGCACGAAACUUGCCCCGAGAUGAGUUCUCCCUGACUCCUUGAGAGUCCUGAAGGAACGUUGAAGACGACGACGUUGAUAGGCCGGGUGUGUAAGCGCAGCGAUGCGUU